rnacentral:lncRNA from 12 species
ACUUCUUGCCCCCCCCACGAGCGUCCUGGGGCUGCGCCUUCCGCUUCUUCUGCUGCAGGGACAGAGGGGACAGUGAGGGGACAGAGGGGGGACAGAGGGGGGACAGGGAAGGGUCACAGGGACAGGGAGGGGACAGGAAUGCCCCCAACCCCUCGUGCUCCAUCCCCACCUCCCCAGAGCUGCGCCGAGGGGACAGGGGAGCUGAGGGAGGGGGCAGAGGUGACGGUGGGUGACAGGUGAGUGCCACCAGGUGCCAGCAGGUGCCACCCACCUUCUGCUUGGCGGCGUGCUCGGCCACCAUGUCGCUGAAAUCCUCCUUCUCCACCUGCGCCUGCUGCUCGCGCACGUGCUCCUCGUACUUCUGCGUCAUGGCCGUGGGCGUCCUGGGGCUGCGCCUUCCGCUUCUUCUGCUGCAGGGACAGAGGGGACAGUGAGGGGACAGAGGGGGGACAGAGGGGGGACAGGGAAGGGUCACAGGGACAGGGAGGGGACAGGAAUGCCCCCAACCCCUCGUGCUCCAUCCCCACCUCCCCAGAGCUGCGCCGAGGGGACAGGGGAGCUGAGGGAGGGGGCAGAGGUGACGGUGGGUGACAGGUGAGUGCCACCAGGUGCCACCAGGUGCCACCCACCUUCUGCUUGCCCCCCCCCCCCCCCCCCCCCCCCCCCCCCCCC